rnacentral:rRNA from 1 species
CCUACGGGAGGCAGCAGUGGGGAAUAUUGCGCAAUGGGCGAAAGCCUGACGCAGGGACGCCGCGUGAGGGAUGAAGGUCUUCGGAUCGUAAACCUCUGUCAGCAGGGAAGAACGGUCAGUGGGCUAAUCAGCAGUGAAUUGACGGUACCUGCAAAGGAAGCACCGGCGAACUCCGUGCCAGCAGCCGCGGUAAUACGGAGGGUGCGAGCGUUAAUCGGAAUUACUGGGCGUAAAGCGCUCGUAGGCGGUAGGUCAAGUCAAGGGUGAAAUCCCCGCGCUCCACGUGGGAACUGCCUUUGCAACUUGCAAACUGGAGUGUGUGAGAGGAUAGUGGCAUUCCAGGUGUAGUCGU